AUUAAACAUAUGAUCAUUCUUAUCAUAUUUUUUGGAAACAUCUGAAAUGAAUGGAGCACUCCCUUCCUUUCAGUUUAUGUACCUUUGGAUGAAUCACUUAUUGCUAAAAUGAGGCAGGGCUCAGAGUGUGGAAAUCUCAUUUACAUAAAUAAGUUAACAAAAUAGAAAAAGUCUAAUUAUAACGAUGUCACUCAUUUCUGUAAACAUCAGCUGUAUUGGAUCAGCCAAAAACACAUUAUAAUAAAUAAUAAUUUUAUUUUAAUUUUCUAUGUGUUGGAUAUCUUCUAUUUACCAUUCUAGAUCUAUACCAUCCUCUUCUACCUUACUUCUUGCCUGGAGGCUGACCUGUAUGGACUAUAUCAGCAUGCUUGCCUUCUUGCGUCCAGCUGGAUUUUACCAAUGAGUACCUCUUGGCAGGAGAUUAGAGGAAGAGAAGAGAUGGCUAUUUAUUCUCCCAGCUCCUUCCCUGAAAAAUUACAUCCCCUUUCAAGAGGGAAAAACAGCUGCUAUGUGAGGAAGUUCACUUAUUGUCCUUGAGAGAGUGGCCACAUGGAGAGAAAAAACCUCUGAUGCAUGAGACACUAUGGAGGGAUGUAGAAAGAAGCCCAGCCAGCCCCUGAACUACAGGAGUUUUCUUGCACAAGCUCUCCUCUCUUAUCUGCUGCCAUGUGAGAUGUGCCUUUCACCUUCUACCAGGAUUGUGAGGCCACCCCAGCCACG